UACAGAGGUCCCAAGCGUUGUUCGGAUUCACUGGGCGUAAAGGGUGCGUAGGUGGCCAGGUAAGUCUGAUGUGAAAUCUCGGAGCUCAACUCCGAAACUGCGUUGGAUACUAUCCGGCUAGAGGAAUGGAGGGGAGACUGGAAUACUUGGUGUAGCAGUGAAAUGCGUAGAUAUCAAGUGGAACACCAGUGGCGAAGGCGAGUCUCUGGACAUUUCCUGACGCUGAGGCACGAAAGCCAGGGGAGCAAACGGG
rnacentral:rRNA from 1 species